ACGGAAGAAGAAGAUCUCGUCUCGCGGCGAUGACGUCACCGCCCGCGCCUCACGCAGUCCGCGUCGAGUCUUCUGAGGAGCGGCGAGCAGUUCACGAUCUGCUGCUUCCACAUCAAAUUCAUGUUCAGUGAAGCUCCUCCCAUAUCGAUCACACCGACAGUGAUUUCAGCAAUAAAUGCUGGAAUAUCUCCAUCAGUUCAGAAGUGCAGACGAGCAUCAGAGCAUCAGGAAGAGCUGGAAUCUGGGUUUAUUAAAGAGGACGGAGAGAAGAUGAGAGACCCAGAGCCCUGCAGAAUCAAACACACUGAAGAACUAAA